rnacentral:rRNA from 1 species
AGAGUUUGAUCAUGGCUCAGGAUGAACGCUAGCGGCAGGCCUAACACAUGCAAGUCGAGGGGUAACAUAGGAAAGCUUGCUUUUCUGAUGACGACCGGCGCACGGGUGCGUAACGCGUAUACAACCUACCUUUUAGCGGGGAAUAGCCCAGGGAAACUUGGAUUAAUGCCCCAUAGUAUAUAGACUUCUCCUGAAGUUUAUAUUAAACAUUUAUGGCUAUUAGAUGGGUAUGCGUCCUAUUAGUUAGUUGGUAAGGUAACGGCUUACCAAGGCAGCGAUAGGUAGGGGUCCUGAGAGGGAGAUCCCCCACACUGGUACUGAGACACGGACCAGACUCCUACGGGAGGCAGCAGUGAGGAAUAUUGGACAAUGGGCGAGAGCCUGAUCCAGCCAUGCCGCGUGCAGGAAGACUGCCCUAUGGGUUGUAAACUGCUUUUACAGAGGAAGAACCACCCCCACGUGUGGGGGUUUGACGGUACUCUGCGAAUAAGGAUCGGCUAACUCCGUGCCAGCAGCCGCGGUAAUACGGAGGAUCCAAGCGUUAUCCGGAAUCAUUGGGUUUAAAGGGUCCGUAGGCGGGCAGUUAAGUCAGUGGUG